GUGGUCACUUUGGUAACACAUAUACUAAAAUUGGAAUGAUACAGAGAUUAGCGUGGCUCCUGUGCAAGGAUGGGGUGCAGGUUCAGGAAGCGUUCCAUAUUUAU